CCUUUCUUGAGCCCCAGUGUCUCUUUGGAUCCUGGUCUACAGGCCAAAUCUUAUAAAUAGAAUAUGUGCCUCAAGGCUUGAAAGUUAGACCUACUUUUAGGCAUAGAUGAAGUCAGAGGGAUUUAAGAAGCCUAACUGUGUGCAGCAUUGGCAGCUGUUAGAGUUUUUAUAAUAAAGUCAGUUAACAUAUACAGUUUUUGAUUUUUGCUUUCAGAAAUCAGACCAAUGCUGAACGCGAAGCAAAUGAUUACCAAGUUACAUAGCCAAAUUUGAGAGAGAAAAUAAGAACAGAGGCGGACAUCCUAUCAAAGCACUUGCAACCAUGUGAUCUUUUUGUGUUAGUACAGUGUUACACACAGAAAAACAGGGACUUGAGCAUGCAAAAGUUUCCUUGAAAACAAAUGUGACAAGCUGCCAUUUCACACUAUUGCAAAAACAUUCUCAAGGUCGGUCUAGAAUGCAAUAGCUAAAAACAAUGUCCAGAAGAGCUUUAUUCACCGGGAUGUCAGUCAGUGAGAGUAAUGGAACCUACGCCCAUAAACCUGGAGGAAAUAAUGCAGGGCUUGACAAAUCCAAGGUAUCAAGCCACCGAUUUUACAGCACCUGGGAGGAGUGGAGGAGAGCUGGGAGACUACUUGUGUGAGCACUGUAAGAUAUUCCCCUACGGGAAUGGGGCCGUUCAAGGAAGAGCAUCUAAGUUCCAAGUUCCCUCCCUGGCAUCUCCAAGAUAGAGCUGAGAGAGACUCCUGCCUGCAACCUUGGAGAAGCUGCUGCCAGUCUGUGUAGAAGAUACUGAGCUAGAUGGACCUAUGGUCUGACUCGGCAUAAGGCAGCUCCCUAUGUUCACCUAGACGAGGAAUUCAGAGAUCCUCAAGUUCCCACACAAAUUCCAACAAAGUGAAUUUGAGCUGCAGAGAAGUAGUGGUUGAUUAACUGCACCCAAGACCGAAUAACCACUGUCUGCAUUCAAGACACCAGCAAAGUUAUGUUGCUACAUUCAGUGGAACACAUAGCACUUGUUGAUGCAUUUUAUGUACAAAAGUACAACAGCCACAAGACAGUCCAAGAGGAAAUAUUUUCUCAUCACAAAGUGGGAUAUCACAAUUAGAUUUUUAAAAUGCUAUGCCCUAAAUUGAGAUGUUUCAUUAAACUUGUUAUGUUUUCACUCAACUACGA